rnacentral:rRNA from 1 species
GACGGAGGAGGCAAGCGUUAUCCGGAUUUACUGGGCGUAAAGCGCUUGUAGGCGGCUUCGUAAGUUGGGCGUGAAAGCUCCGGGCUUAACCCGGAGAGGCCGUCCAAUACUGCGGAGCUCGAGGGUGCCAGAGGAAGGUGGAAUUCCUGGUGUAGCGGUGAAAUGCGUAGAUAUCAGGAGGAACACCCGUGGCGAAGGCGGCUUUCUGGGGCAUUCCUGACGCUGAGAAGCGAAAGCUAGGGGAGCAAACAGG